rnacentral:lncRNA from 1 species
AUGAUUGGGUUUUCUGUUCGUAGAAACUUUGAGGAAUGAAAUCCCUAAUUUUUGUCAGACUUGGUGAAGUCACAAAGUUAAACUUGUCGGUAUUUGUAAAUGAGUUUAAAGGUCCUCACUUGAUAUCCUCUAUAACCAUCCGAACAUAAUUAUAUAGCCAUCAGAAUUUGUUAUGUUAAAGCCGUCCGACUUUGUGAGGAUAGUUAAGGGUGUCGGUAUUUAAAUGGUAAGCUACAGUCCGAACUUGUGAGGUAAAGUGUGAUCAGAACUUAUUAAUUGAAGAUGAGUCAGAACCUCUAGCCCUCUAAACUAUCCGUAUGGGUGGGGAACAAAAGAUGACAUUUCUUUUCUUAUGGUCUGCAUAUGUGGAGUAUAAAAAUAACCUGCACAAAUAACAUGGACAUAUAUUGUGUGCACACCAAUUAAAAGAAAAGGAAAUUUGUAUAAAUGAUGGACCGAUCACAUGAUUGGAUUAUAAUUAAUUAUUUGCUAUUUAGUAGGCCGAUCAUAAAUAUACUAAUUAUGUGCUAUUAUAGUUAGUUGAGGGCUCACUAAUUUUUGUAUGUAUUAGUAUUAUAUCUGGGCAAUGAUUUCUAGAUCAAGUGGUGGAUGAUUUGCAUUUCUCUUGAGAGAUGCUGAUUCAACUCUCACUUGGUGCAGAGUGAGUCACUGGUGGGCAAUGAUGGGAGACCCAGGAAAACUUGGGUUGGAUCAUUGAGCCAAACGGGUUUUACCGAUAAUUUCAAUGUCAUGCCUAUAGGCGGGUGAGUUACUGGGUUUUCCCCGGAAUUGGUGGUGGACUCGGGUUACUCUCGGAAUACUCCGUUUGUCCAGUGAGUGCCCCAAGAGUGCUCGGGAUUGAUUCUGUUGAUUGUUAAAAAAAAUAUUAUAUCUGAACAUAUUUGCUGCUUGAAUGAUUUCGUUUUAUAUAAAUGUAUUCGCACAUGGGGAAAAGGGUUAAACUAACAUGCAAUUGAUCUUGGAAUCCAUAUAUAUAAAUAAAUGCAGUAUGAUGACACCUAAUAUAAAAGAAGUGCUUGUGCCAUUCAAAUCAUUAUAGGGAUAGGGUCGAAUAACUUUGUUUCUAUGAGCCAAGAAUCAGAUUAAUUGAUUUUCAUAUGAACUGAUUGUUAUACGAAUUGACUUUCAUAUGAAUUGAUUCUUACAUAUGAAUUGAUUUUAUAUGAACUAGGUUUAUACCCACGCGCGCGUUGCGGCACUAAACCGAAUCGUUCUUAGUUUAAAGUAUCAAGUGAAUACAGUUAUUUGUUCUUUCUUUUGAAGUAUCAAGUGAAUUACAUACCCAAAAAUAUGAAUACCUUUGCAGUGUGCUUUCUAGAAAAUUGUUUCCAAUAAUCAAUCAUACCCUGAUAAAAGACUUGGAAGCCUAAUUAUCAUUCGGCUACGGAUUUGAUGGGCAAGGGUUUCUACCUAAAUUGUUUUAACCAACUACCUAAGUUGCCACUUCACCAACUCUAACUAAACCAGCUGAAAAAUAUCAUGCAGGUGAUGUGUGAAAAUAAUUUAGCCUUUCAUAUGUUACGGAAUCAAAUAAAUGAGGGUAAGUCGUCACAGGUAGUUUGAAAUAGUUGCUGGUUGAUCUUAUCGUUACUCAUGAUUUGUCUACAGUUUGGUUGCACAGUUUGGCCUACAUACAAAACAUUGUAAAGAACAUAAUGCUUAAAACAAUGACAAAAUUUAUUACCUCAGUUGGGGUUAGCGUAAAUGUCGUAACUGUGGUAACAUUUAGAGAUUAAUAAUAAUAUGCAAUACCAAUGUAAUUCCUCUAUUGUUGAGAUGGUCUGAACUCAAAUUGGUUUACCUAUAUGACAGAAAGAACGAAAUUAGGAUUAAAAAUCUUACCAAAACCUUAUUACUAUUAGCAUGCAAAACUUGUUCUCUUAAACUUGAACUUAAACUUGUUCAUUUACAUUCAAAGUUUUUAUAUACCAUUAUCAUUAUAACGUGUAUAAAGUAACUUGCAUGCGCCAAAAAAACCCCAACAAAAGCAUGUAAACAGGAUGUGCGUAAGUUGAAAAGAGGCGCAAUCGAGUGCUAGUCCAAUGAGUAAAAGGAAUUCGGUGUUUGCAUCUUCAAGGCUCGGCUGACCGGAAAAAUUGGUGAAGUCUGAGCACCGUACGUUAAUCGUAACGACAUCGCCACAGUCCGCCUUGUUCUAUUCAAUACCCUCGCUCAGAGAAGCUUUACCAUUUCCGCUGACCCAUCCUAUCCUCUAUUAAUUCGUGAAGAAUCAUUGCGCGAACCAGACUGAAGAACUAAUGGAUCCAUCGGUGAACCUAUAUGUAAACCUGAAUCCCAAGAUCAAUAACCCAAGAUUACAACAAUCAGACAUACACUUCAAAGUGGAUAAAAAAAUCCAAAUAGAAGCUCCAAAAACAUAAAUAAAUCAACUGAUUAGAAGUGAAACUGAAAAGUAUAAACACAAACAAACAGACCUGAAAUCCAACCGAAAACACUGGGCAGCUGUGACCCGCGAGAGUUGAUAGUACCGGGAUAAAAAAUCAGAAGCAACCUCUGCUAGCGCGGGGGCGAUUGAAGGAUCAACUGUCGCCGAUGAUUACUUUUGGUUGUCGUAUGUCAGCAAACCUCUUACAUUCGAAGAGACCAGAGGCGCGACACAUCGUUUUCUAGAGGAUGCGACACGCGAAACUUUUGUUUUAUUUUCAAGCUAUCGAAAUCUUGCUGCAACUAAUUAAUGCUUGAUUCAUUCACGAACCCAUUUGUUAAUCAUGAAAUUAGGCAUUCACAUACCAUUCAUAGACAUAAAGUAAGAUAACGAAUAGGCAUGGUUGUAAAAGUCGCUAGGCGCUCCCUAGUCAGAUUCGGGAGUACUCGGCUUAGGCGGAGAUUACUCGGGGAGUAAUUGGCCUGGGAGAAGAGUACUUGUGCCUCGGCAUCCUGCCUUGUAGCGAGUACUCGGGGAGUACUCGGAGCCUAAGCGGGACUUUUACAAUAGGGAUCAUCACCUCGAGGCAUGCGCCCCAACGGCUUUUUUUAAACCAUCAAUCUAACAACAAAGUAAGGUAACAAAUAAGGACAC